AACGAACGCUGGCGGCAUGCCUAACACAUGCAAGUCGAACGAGACCUUCGGGUCUAGUGGCGCACGGGUGCGUAACGCGUGGGAAUCUGCCCCUGGGUUCGGAAUAACAGUUAGAAAUGACUGCUAAUACCGGAUGAUGUCUUCGGACCAAAGAUUUAUCGCCCAGGGAUGAGCCCGCGUAGGAUUAGCUUGUUGGUGGGGUAAAGGCCUACCAAGGCGACGAUCCUUAGCUGGUCUGAGAGGAUGAUCAGCCACACUGGGACUGAGACACGGCCCAGACUCCUACGGGAGGCAGCAGUGGGGAAUAUUGGACAAUGGGCGAAAGCCUGAUCCAGCAAUGCCGCGUGAGUGAUGAAGGCCUUAGGGUUGUAAAGCUCUUUUACCCGGGAUGAUAAUGACAGUACCGGGAGAAUAAGCCCCGGCUAACUCCGUG
rnacentral:rRNA from 1 species